GAAUGUUAAGCUCAUUAAGAGUGAAAAGAUCGAAAGUAUAGUCUCACUGCAUAGCUAUACUUGAGUGUACUUAAAUAUACUCGAGUUAUCCAGGCCGGAAUCGAAAACGCAAGCAUAGUGGAAAUGUAAACAAGUUUAGUGUACUCGAAAGACCUCCACUCGUCUUUUGACAGUCAAAACGGACAUCCUGACCCCUCAAGAACGAGUUUUUAGAUUUUUGGCGUGCAAAUCAUUAGGAUGGGAUAUUUUCUACCUUCUUGAGGUCUUCGUGGAGGCAAGAUCAAAGGCUUUCAAGGCGAGUUCCGGCCAGCAGUGCCAAAGGUGGAUCUGCUAGUGGAAUCCGGAGAAAUCCAAAAGAGGGCAUCAAGAGCUGGGGUUCCCACUGCGCACAAAAUCUCGUGAUUUUUAUAGCAUACAGGGUGCGGAACCAAAAUUUAGACAAAGAAUGGAUUUCUCGAAAGAGUGAACCAUGUCUAAGCUUAAAGCAAAACGAAGGAGGUUGUUAUAUCUCCUCCAUGGGGAGUCACUCCUUGGGCAGCCGCCAAGAUUUUCGGUGUCAGCGGGUUCAAGCAGUAAAGACCUGAAGAAAAAGAGGACUGAUGGCAUCUGGGACGACCUCAAGAGCUGCACGAAGAAUAGCCUUACCACCUCAAUGACAAAGUAUGUUAGUUUUAAUUCCAGUGUUGAGCUGAUAUCAUCAUGGCUGGUUGAAAUUGUCAAGCUUUGGCACCAAAGUUAAAGAAAUAUUAGUCUCAAUUUUGGUUCUGAACCCUGUAGAUAGCUUUUUUCCUCUAUGCUUCUACAAACAAAGUUAUUCAUUCAUUGAAAAUCUUGAUCGAGUCUUGUAGCUAAUACUGAUGUUAACAAUGGAUAUUACUAACAAAUAAAGUAAUUAAUAUAUCAA